AAAAGACGUCAGUGUGUGUGUGCGUGUGUGUGUGUGUGUGUGGUGUGUGUGCGCGCGUGUGUAUGUGUGUAUGUGUGUGUGCACGCGCGCGCGCGCUCCUGUGUUUGGGGAAAUAGAAAGUUUUGCCUGUUGGGGGAGCAAUACGGGAAAAGUGAGCCGAGGAGAGGACGACGCAGAGAGGGCGAGCCUGCCGGGUCGCGGCGGCAGGCGGGGGAGCCGAGCGGGGACCUGCGCGGAACCCCCGGGAGUAGCAGCUUUGCGGGCCGUAAUGCGUUUGCUGCGGACACUUCGACUCCGGGCCAUUCUCCCCCUUUGGGAUACGUCCUGGACUUCUCGGGCCGCGAGAACUUGUUGACAAGUGAAAGCUUAGUAGAACCUCGGCUCUAUUUGUCUUUGUUUAUUUUUUACAAAGUGACUUCAUAUUUACUCUGGA